rnacentral:lncRNA from 1 species
AUGCUAGUGAAAGACUCUCGAUCUGCCAGGAUUCUUUCUGGAUACUUAACCAUGAAUUUUACGUCUCUGCAGCAGCUAACUUCAGCCCAAAAUAUCCCUGGGCAGGCUGAAGGAAUUAAAACCAGUCGAUAUUUCAUGGGCUCAUUCCAGCUGGUGAAUGAAAUCUACUAUUCCCGUCACAGCAACUCUGCUUCGGACACAUUCAAGAGGGAGGCUGCGAAGCUGGAGAACGUGAUCGCUGGUGCGUUUGGUAGGAGUGCCCUGAACAAGAGCUACCAGGGCUUGGCUGUGCUGGCAUUGAGCCCAAGUCCCUUCACGGAGCACUUCAGGCUGCAGUUCAGUGGCACUGAAACGUCAGCGAGGCUCAGCAAUGCCGUGGUGGCGCACGAAUUGGCACAAGAGUACCAGGGCGCAGGGGACAAAGUCGAAAUGUCCAUGGACGUUGGCAGCUUGCUGGUGAGAGCUGCACCCCCGGCACUUGCCUGGCGUGUAACAUCCACUGCUAGCUCUCCUCAUCUGACCAAGGACCGAGCAACAUGUGACCAGAAUUCUCCAUCUGUAAAGCCAGGGCAUGAGGUACUUGUCCUUCUGCCUCCGCCAUCACCAUCCAUCACUGCCAAUAUAAAUGGCAGCUGGAGGAGCCUGUGCGUGCCCAGGAAAGAGAGCUGCUUUUCAUUGAAAGAAUCAUUCCAUCCACGAUAA